GUGGCUGUAGCUCAGUCGGUAGAGCCCCGGAUUGUGGAUCCGGUUGUCGUGGGUUCGAGUCCCAUCAGCCACCCCA
rnacentral:tRNA from 1 species